AUUGAACGCUGGCGGCAGGCUUAACACAUGCAAGUCGAGCGGAGAUGAGGUGCUUGCACCUUAUCUUAGCGGCGGACGGGUGAGUAAUGCUUAGGAAUCUGCCUAUUAGUGGGGGACAACAUUCCGAAAGGAAUGCUAAUACCGCAUACGUCCUACGGGAGAAAGCAGGGGAUCUUCGGACCUUGCGCUGAUAGAUGAGCCUAAGUCGGAUUAGCUAGUUGGUGGGGUAAAGGCCUACCAAGGCGACGAUCUGUAGCGGGUCUGAGAGGAUGAUCCGCCGCACUGGGACUGAGUCACGGCCCAGACUCCUACGGGAGGCAGCAGUGGGGAAUAUUGGACAAUGGGGGGAACCCUGAUCCAGCCAUGCCGCGUGUGUGAAGAAGGCCUUAUGGUUGUAAAGCACUUUAAGCGAGGAGGAGGCUACUGAGACUAAUACUCUUGGAUAGUGGACGUUACUCGCAGAAUAAGCACCGGCUAACUCUGUGCCAGCCGCCGCAGUAACAC
rnacentral:rRNA from 1 species